rnacentral:rRNA from 1 species
UUUCGAAAAACUAAAGGCUUAUGGUGAAUACCUAGGCACCCAAAGACGAUGAAGGGCGUACUUACCGACGAUACGCUUCGGGGAGCUGGAAUGACGCUUUGAUCCGAAGAUUCCCGAAUAGGGCAACCUAUAUAACUUCUUUUUGAAUUCAUAGAAAAGAUAGAGACAACCGAGUGAAUUGAAACAUCUUAGUAGCUCGAGGAAGAGAAAGCAAAAGCGAUUCCCGGAGUAGCGGCGAGCGAAAUGGGAACAGCCUAAAGGAACAUUUUUUAAAUGUUCCGGUUGUGGGACAUGAACAAAUUUUAAUAAAAAAAGACAAACUGAAACAGCUGAGUCCUGUACCAAAGAAGGUGAGAGUCCUGUAAGUAACUAUUUUUUUAUUUCUCAUGAAUCCCGAGUAGCAUGGGGCACGUGAAAUCCCGUGUGAAUCUGCGAGGACCACCUCGUAAGGCUAAAUACUCUUGGGUGACCGAUAGCGAAACAGUACCGUGAGGGAAAGGUGAAAAGAACCUCAUCAGGGGAGUGAAAUAGACCAUGAAACCGUAAGCUUACAAGCAAUGGGAGAGUCUUGAGACUUGACCGU